rnacentral:rRNA from 1 species
AGGACGAACGCUGGCGGCGUGCUUAACACAUGCAAGUCGAGCGGAAGGGCCCUUCGGGGUACUCGAGCGGCGAACGGGUGAGUAACACGUGAGUAAUCUGCCCCUAGCUCUGGGAUAGCGUCCGGGAAACCGGGAUUAAUACCAGAUACGACCACUUUUAGACAUCUGCUGUGGUGGAAAGAAUUUCGGCUAGGGGAUGAGCUCGCGGCCUAUCAGCUUGUGGUGAGGUAACGGCUCACCAAGGCGACG